rnacentral:lncRNA from 1 species
GGUGGCUUCUCUCCCUUAGGUGGUUUGCCAACUGGGGUUGGUGGCUUGUGUUCUGGGAGUGGCUUCUCCCCCUUGGGAGGUUUUUCCAAUGGGGUUGGUUUGUGUUCAGGAGGUGGCUUCUCCACUGGAGGCUUGUGUUCAGGAGGUGGCUUCUCCACCGGUGGCUUGUGUUCAGGAGGUGGCUUCUCCACCGGAGGCUUAUGCUCUGGUGGUGGCUUCUCCACCGGAGGCUUAUGCUCUGGUGGUGGCUUCUUGAAUGGGGGAUGCUGAGGGUAAUCAGCAAGUGAGGGGGCGGUGAGAACCACCAGGCCAAGCAACACCACUAGCAAAUAUGUAGGAGACAUCUUUGGGUUUGGGCUCAGAUGGUGCAAAACUAGGAGAAUUGGCUAGCCUUUUAUAGCGGAUCGUACUCAAUAAUGAAAUGACACGUGUCAUUAUGACCCAUGUGUAAUGGGGUCGAUUUGGGUCCUACAGUGUUGAAAACUUCGACAUCCAGUUUUGGCCUUUUGCUUUCUCUACAGCCGCCUUGCUUUUUCCCUCUUUCCUUUUGUUUUCCUCCUGCCCCAUUCUAUCAACUAAACACAAUUAUGUAGUUGUUUAAUUCUUAAAUGAGAUAUUAUCGGUCAAUCGUAUUAUAUUUUAUCAAGAGAGAACGGAGUGCAAUGCAGCUGUAAUUUUAUCGUUUACUUUUAUCUCUUGGACCACUGCAUUUUUGUUAAGAGGUGCAAUAAUACACGUCUUUAUCUGCCAUUCAAUGUUUACAGUAAAGAGAGGGCACAAAACUCUUCACUGCUCUGCAUGUGUCCCAAAAAUGCGAUUGGACAAAUUAUGAUUUGCAUGCUAAAAAGAGGCAAAUGAGGUUAAUUCGCACCAUAAUUAUUUGGUUUUCUGGACACCAUAAAAAGAUGUUAUACAGGCAGGGAAAAACCUUCAGAGUUAGCUACCAAAGAUAAUUAUCAAGCAGAUAUCACCAAGAGAAUUCCAUAGAGUCUGAAUCAAAGACAGAUUGCUCGCUCGUGGGGGUUCUUACUUUCUUUUGGGUAUAACUCACUGAGGUCACUGUCUUUUUUAUUUGCAUUUCACAGUUAGAGUUCUGCUCUGGAAGGUUUGUUCUGGAAACAUAUAAAAGGAGCAUCAUUUUGUUCUUGGGUAACCCAUAGUCGUGAGUGGGUCCAUUUGCAUGCUACUUAGUUGAAAAGUUGGACAAUUUGCUCCGACGCCUACCUCCUGGAUUCCAUGCUCGGUAAAACAAGAAUAAAAAAAAAUAUAUAAUUUACAAAUGGGGGAAAGAAAAAAUGUCGGAAAAAAUAGUAAAAUUCAUGUCACAUGCUAGUGAGAGAAGGGGUUGUUACACUCACUCGAAGUUCUUUUCAAAAUAUCGAAUGGUAUUUUACUUUAUGUGUCAGCGCAGUUGUGAAUGGAACGUGCAAAAGUCCAAAUUGGCGUUUUUAUUUUUCCCAUGUAGGAUGGUGACCUUUAAUAAAUAUUUAAAACAAAAGACGAAAAAAAAAAGGAGGGAAAAGGGAUCACAAAAGAUAAAAUAAUGUUUACAAAAGCUCAAUUAGUUUGCAAAUUACUGUUUGGAUUUUGAUAGUAUUUUAUUUGUCGUUCUAUAUUUGAUGUAAAAGAGAAUUUAAGAUAUUUCCGAAGCAAAAGCAUUAGUUUGCUCUGUGAUGUCCCACAUCGAAUAGGGGAGAAAGUUUCUGGCGCUAUAUAUGUAGAGGCUCCUCUUAACCAAGUAGAUGCGUUUUAAAACCAUGAGGGCCCCCUUAGGUCCAAAGCGGACAAUAUCUACAUGAUUGGGUGUAAGUCAUUACAAAUGGUAUCAGAGCCGAUCCCCGACCCCGGUGUGGGGGUUUGUUUGGCCCUGUAAGGGGUGUUUGUCUGUUUGACCCCACAAUCCCAUGGGACACAACGAGGACGUUGUGUCUGCAUGGGGGGGCGUUUGUGAUGUCCCACAUCGGAUAGGGGAGAAAGUUCCUAGUGCUAUAUAUGUAGAUGUUUCUCUUAACCAAGUAGAUGCAUUUUAAAAUUGUGAGGGCCUCUUUGGGCCCAAAGCGGACAAUAUCUACAUGGUUGAGUGUAAGUCAUUACAUGCUCCAUGUCAAUUUCAGCAUUUCUCAUAUGUUUCACACAUACACAGAAGAGCAUCGUUUUUUAAAGCAUGCAUUUAUGUUGGAUUAAUUUGGAUUUUGUGGGAACUGGGGCAAGGAUCACAUGGAAGAGAGGUUGACUUUUUUCAGUACUUCAAUGGUUGAAAUAUGUGAAGGCUUGAUUGAUACUAAAGCUUGAAAUUGCGACUCUGUCAUUUGUAAAAAAAUAUGACAGCUUCCAUGCUCUCGUUUGGUUGCAUUGUCCGGUCGAGAGGUGCAAAAAGCAUUCUCUCUCUUCUAAUAGUCUUUUCGUUUAAAUCAAGGGAUUUGCCUUCCCGGUCGAGGUCCAAUAGAGGGUAACGGUCACCUACUAAACAUUAAAUGCUCCAACAACUAGUGAACUGAUCGACCCCAGCUCGACUAGUUGAGGUUACUUUUUGGUUUUCUUGUCUCCCGAGGUUAGAAACCUAUAAAUAGAGAGCUUCACUUCAUUUAUGAGUAAGAGAACACCUAAAUUUAUUUGUUUACCUACUUGUUUUUGCCAUAAAAGCUCUCAUUUCUUUUCUUGGUGUAUUAAAUCUCCAUUUGCAUAUCCUUUAGUGCACCUUUGUGAUUCAUUCUAGCCUUGAGUUGUAUUUAAGCCUUUGUUGAGCUAGGUUGAGAGUUUCAUACUUGUUUAUUGAGUGUUAAAGCCUUCAAGUGAGUUAAAACUUGAAGAGAUUGUGUAAGAGCCCAUUGGAGUCGGAAUCCAAGUGUAAAGGUGAUUAAAAGCUUGGUUGAAGCUUCAAGUUAGUGGAACUCUCACUCGGUUAUGAGCUUGAGAAGAGUGGACAUAGACAAGGCAGUGUCGAACCACUAUAAAAUCUGAGUUUGAUUUCUCUAACCUUAUCUCUUUAUAUUUGCUUCUCUUGUGCUUAAAUUUUUUGUGUUUAAAAAGAAUUUUUAAAAACUCAAUUCACCCCCUUCUUGGGAGUUUUUCUCUUUUAAGAUCAGCUUUUAUUUUCUCAAUUGGUAUCAGAACUAUGCCUCUUGUUUAAGACUUAAUCGUCUAAGAGGAAAUGGCUAAUCCAUCAAGUUCAUCUCACAUUGAAAGUUUUGCAACCAAUAGACUUCUUUUUUUUUUUUUGCGGGAACUGAUUAUCCCUAUUGGAAAACUAAAAUGACUUGGUUUUUACAAUCAAUUGAUUUAGAUGUAUGAGAUGCCAUUGAAGAUGACCUAACUUUUCCUUCAAAACUAGUUGAUGGAGUCAUGGUUCCAAAACCUAAGCAAGAAUGGGAUGAGCGUGAUUGAAGAAAUUUUCAAUUAAAUGCUAAAGUCGUUUAUACUUUGCAAUGCUCUAUGGACAGAAAUGAAUAUAAUAGAAUAUGUCAAUGCAAAUCGGUUAAAGAAAUUUGGAGAUUGCUUGAAAUAACUCAUAAAGGAACAAAUCAAGUUAAAGAGUCAAAAAUCAAUUUACUUGUUCAUAGAUAUGAAUUGUUUUUUAUGAAAGAUAAUGAAACUAUUGUUAAGAUGAUCACUAGGUUCACCAACAUUGUUAAUGGUCUUAAAGCCUUGGGAAAGACCUACAAGGAAUCCGAAAACGUGAUGAAGAUCUUGAGGUCACUUCCAUCAAAGUGGCAUACCAAGGUCACCGCAAUUUAAGAAGCAAAAGACUUGAUCAAGCUACCUUUGGAGGAGUUCAUAGGGUCAUUGAUGACAUAUGAAAUCAAUUUGGCAAAGAAGUAACAAAAAGGUGAAGACAAAAAGAAGAAGAACAUAACUCUCAAAGCUACAACUAAGGAAGAAGAAGUUGAAGAAGAAAAACAAAUUGAAGAAGAUGAAGAUUUAGCCCUCAUCACAAGAAAGUUCAACAAAUUCAUGAGGGGUGAAAGGUUUAGAAGAAGAAGGUUCACUUCUAGAAGAGACUUUUCUAAAAAGGAAUCUUCAUCUAAUGGUGACAAAAAGAGAUGGGAAGAGAAAAGAGACUUGGUGUGUUUCAAGUGCAAGAAACCGGGACACAUUAAAUAUGAUUGUCCUCUCUACAAAAGUGAAGUCAAGAGGAAAAAGAAUAAGGCAAUGAUGGCCACUUAGAGUGAAAGUGAAGAUGAAUCAUCCGAAGAAGAAAAUGAGAAAGAAGUGGCAAACAUGUGUUUCAUGGCAAUAGAUGAACUUGAUGAGGUAAAAUCUAACCUUAGUGAUUAAGAUAUACAUGAUGCAUUUGAAGAAUUGUAUGAGGAUUUUUAAAAACUUAGUUUGAAAAAUAUUUCUCUUAAAAAGAAAGUUCAACAACUUGACAAAGAACUUAGAGAAGUAAAAGAAAAAUUUUCAAAUGUUAAAGUUUCUAAAACUCAUCUUGAAAAAGAAAAUGAGAUUCUAAGAAAGAAAAAUGAAUAGUUGAACUCCUCUCUUUCAAUCUUUUCUUCUAGACAAAAAUCUUUUGAAAUGAUUCUAACUAGCUAAAAAUGUGUUUUUGACAAACAAGGGUUAAGAUUUAAAUCUUCAAAAAAUCAAAAGUAUUUUAAAAACUAUUUUGUAAAGGAAUCCACAAGUGCAAGUCCUUCCACUACUUGCAACUUUUGUGGAAGAGAAUGGCACAUUAGUAGUACGCCCUUUAAGAAAUGGUUCUCAAAAGAAUUUAAAUGCAAAAACUAAAAAAGAUUUGGAUUGAGAAAUCCAAGGUCACUAACCCUCAAGGACCCAAAAAGAUAUAGGUACCUAAAUCAACUUGAGUUUUAUGUUGUAAGGUUCAAAGAAUGAUAAGUGGUUCUUAGAUAAUGGUUGCUCAAGACACAUGACCGGAGAUGAAUCCAAGUUUGCUUUUCUUAAAAAGAAAAAUGGAGGAUAUGUUACCUUUGGAGACAAUGCAAAAGAAAGGAUGAUUGGUCAAGGCAACAUUGGUAAUGGCACAUCCUCUCUCAUUGAAAGUGUUUUAUUAGUAGAUGGUUUCAAACAUAACCUUUUAAGCAUUAGUCAAUUUUGCGACAAAGGUUUUUAAGUGAUUUUUUAAGCAUCUCAUUGCAUCAUCAAGGAUAUUCAAAAUGAUAAAACCAUUUUCAUGGGCCAUAGAUGUGAUAAUGUUUAUGCUAUAAAUAUUUCAAAAUAUGAUGGCCAUGAUAGAUGUUUUUCAAGCAUGCAUGAUCAAAGUUGGUUGUGCCAUAGGAGAUUGAGACAUGCUAACAUAGACCUCAUUUCCCAACUCAACAAAGAUGAACUUGUUAGAGGCCUUCCCAAAAUAAUUUUUUAAAAAGAUAAAGUUUGUGAAGCUUGUCAAGUGGGAAAGUAAAUCAAAAACUCUUUUAAAAACAAAAACUUCAUUUCCACAUCUAGGCCACUUGAGUUGUUGCAUAUGGAUUUAUUUGGUCCCUCUAGGACACCAAGUCUUAGAGGAAAUUCUUAUGCAUAUGCUAUUGUGGACGACUUCUCUAGAUACACAUGAGUCUUGUUUUUUAGUCAAAAGAAUAAAGUUUUUUAUGAGUUUUCAAAGUUUUGCAAUAAGAUUCAAAAUGAAAAAGGUUUUUCAAUUACUUAUAUAAGAAGUGAUCAUGGGAGAGAAUUCGAAAAUAUUGAUUUUGAAGAGUAUUGCAAUGAGCAUGGAAUUGACCACAAUUUUUUGGCUCUUAGAACUCCUCAACAAAAUGGGGUAGUUGAAAGGAAAAAUAGAACUCUUCAAAAAAUGACAAGAACCAUACUAAAUGAAAACAACUUACCAAAAUAUUUUUAGGCCAAAACGGUUAACACUUCUUGUUAUGUUUUAAAUAGAGUAUUAUUGAGGCUCAUACUUAAGAAAACUCCCUAUGAGCUUUGGAAAAACAAAAAACCCAACAUUAGUUAUUCCAAAGUCUUUGGAUGCAAUAUUUUAUAAUAAACACCAAAGACAAUCUUGGAAAAUUUGAUGCAAAAUUGGAUGUUGGAAUUUUCCUUGGUUACUCAACUUCAAGUAAAGCUUUUCGAGUUUUAACAAAAGAACCAUGGUUGUAGAGGAGUCCAUCCAUGUUAUUUUUUAUGAAUCUCCAAGAAAGAGAGAGGAUUGAUGAUGAUUUAGGUUUGAAGACCUCUAUAGGAAGAUUGCAAAUCGAAGAUAGAAGACAACAAGAAGAAAAUGGAGAGAAUCCAAAGAAAGAAGGAUCACCAUUGGCACUACCCCCUCAUCAACAAGCGCAAGGUGAAUCAAGUCAAGAGCUUCCUAAAGAAUGGAAGUUUGUCAUCAAUCACCCACAAGAUCAAAUUAUAGGCAAUCCAUCUAGUGGGGUAAGAACUAGAUCCUCUCUUAGAAAUAUUUGCAAUAAUCUAGCUUUUAUCUCUCAAAUUGAGCCUAAAAAUAUAAAUGAUGUUUUAGAUGAUGAAAAUUGGAUAAUUGCAAUGCAAGAAGAGUUAAAUCCAUUUGAAAGAAGUGGAGUAUGGGAAUUAGUACCAAGACCUUCAAAUCAAAGUGUUAUUGGAACUAGAUGGAUCUUUAGAAAUAAAAUGGAUGAAAAUAGCAUAAUUGUUAGAAAUAAAGCAAGAUUGGUAGCCCAAGGUUUUAAUCAAGAAGAAAUGAUAGAUUAUGAAGAAACCUUUGCCCCCGUAGCUAGGUUGGAAGCCAUUAGGAUGCUACUUGCCUUUGCAUGUUUUAAAGACUUUGUUUUAUAUCAAAUGGAUGUGAAAAGUGCUUUUUUAAAUGGUUUUAUAAAUGAAGAAGUAUAUGUUGAACAACCACCCGGUUUUCAAAGUUUCAACUUUCCUAACCAUGUUUUUAAACUUAAAAAGACACUUUAUGGUUUGAAACAAGCACCUAGAUCAUGGUAUGAAAAAUUGAGUAAAUUUCUUUUGAAAAAAAUGUUUUAAAAUGGGAAAAAUUGACACAACUCUUUUUAUAAAAACCAAAGAAAAUGAUAUGCUCUUAGUUCAAAUAUAUAUUGAUGAUAUCAUUUUUGGUGCUACUAAUGUCUCUCUUUAUGAAGAAUUUUCUAAGUGCAUGCAUAGUGAGUUUGAAAUGAGCAUGAUAGGAGAACUCAACUUCUUCCUUGGACUUCAAAUCAAGCAACUAAAGGAAUGAACCUUCAUCAAUCAAGCAAAGUAUAUAAGAGAUCUUCUCAAAAGGUUCAACAUGGAAGAAGCCAAAACAAUGAAGACUCUAAUGAGCUCAUCCAUUAAGCUUGAUAAGGAUGAGAAAGGUAAAUCCAUUGACUCUAUUAUGUAUAGAGGCAUGAUAGGUUCUUUGCUCUAUUUGACCACUAGUAGACCUUACAUUAUGUAUAGUGUGUGUUUGUGUACUAGAUUUCAAUCUUGUCUUAAAAAAUCUCACUUAAGUGUCGUGAAAAGAAUCCUCAAAUAUUUGAAAGGGACAAUGGACAUAGGCUUAUGGUAUCCUAAGAGUGAUAACUUUGAAUUAAUUGGUUUUUUGGAUGCUGAUUUUGUCAGUUGUAGGGUUGAAAAAUAAAACACUAGUGGCACUUUUCAUUUCUUAAGACACUUACUUGUCUCAUGGCAUAAUAAGAAGCAAAAUUUGGUAGCUUUGUCAACAGCAGAAGCUAAAUACAUAGCAACUGGUUUAUGUUGUGCACAAAUCCUUUGGAUGAAAUAAACACUUAGUGAUUUUGAUUUAUCUUUUGAGCAUAUUCCUAUUAAAUGUGAUAAUAGUAGUGCCAUAAGUAUAUCAAAAAAUCUCGUGCAACACUCUAGGACUAAGCAUAUAGAGAUUAGACAUAAUUUUCUUAGAUAUCAUACACAAAAGGAUGAUAUAACACUUGAAUUUGUAAGCAUAAAAGACCAACUUGCCGAUAUCUUUACAAAACCUCUAAGAACAUUUUGUUGAUAUUAGAGGACAAUUAGGAGUGAUUUCUUUAUGAUCUAAUGUGAUGAAUUCUUGAUGAAUAUACUUUUUGAUUGCAUGAAUUUCAUGUCAUAUAUGCAUCAUAUAGAAAUAUACUUAGAUAAUGGUCAAAUUUCGACCAAAAAUCAAAAUUCCCAUGGCAUUAGGCAUAAAAAUUUUGGAAUUUCAACUGAAAAUGGUAGGAGGAGGAUCACAAAAUGAGAAAGUAUGCAAAAAUUGAAAAAUCAAAACGUUGACCAAGCGGUCAAUCGGACUAGACCGAUCGACUAGUUUGUCGAGAUUUAGGAUUUUUAAGAGACUCCAACGCUUCAAUUUUUGCACCGUUCUCCUCUAUUUCUUCACGGUUUCUCUGAUUUUGUCUUUUAGAGACUAAUUUGAGUGCGUUUUGGAUCAAUUGAAGCAUUUUGGAUUGGAUUUUAGGAAGAUUGAAAGUUAAGGUUUCGGAUUUGGGUCGCCUUCUCUUCCUCUCGCGUGUCACAAUCAGCUUUAGCAUUGUUCUCUUUCCAUUUUCACACACCUAGGGUUUCAGUUGUGAGCAUCUCUCUCUCUUUACCAACCACUACUCCCUUGCUUCUUCCAUAUGGCUCCUAGGCGAGAGUCCGCUACUUCUAGGGCACAAGGCAAGCACCCAACUGAGUCGUCUCAGUCAAAGGCACGUCGAAAAGUGAGAUUUGACAUUGCCUUGUUCAGUUCCAUGGAGGACUACCAACUAUACAAGCAACACUUUGCUUAGAGACGAGUAGUUCCCAAGAGAAAUAUUAAUUUUCCUCAACUUCAGCAUUUCGAAUUUAAGGGUCUAUUUACUAGGAUGGUUGGUUGUCUAUUGUCACAAUUUCGGAGCCGGUUUUCCUGACCUUAGUGCGAGUUUUUUACUCGAGGGCGACUUAUGGCAUGGGUGGCAUGAUCAUUUCUACUGUUGGAGGAGUUGAGAUCUGUCUGGACCCAGAGAGCAUCUGCCAUAUUUUCGAUAUUGCUCUGGUUGGACUCAAAGUAUACAAGUCCAAAAUGUGGCCCAUUGUGCCAGGAUUUGAGCUUAGAGAGGUCAUUCAGAGGAUUUGUGAACUUCCAGACGCCCAGGAGAUGGGCAAACCAUUGCCACACAGUUUGACGGUCAUCAACAGGGUGCUACACCAUAUAUUGUGCUCUAUCUUUCUACCACGAAGUGGACAUUGAGAUGAGGUCUCUUAUUAUGAGGCAUUCCUUAUUGACUCCAUUCUAACGGAGAGACGAAUUCAUCUACUAUGUCAUCAUUCACUAAGCCUCCUCACAGUGACAUACCACCUCAUCAGGCACCUCUUGCUCCUGACCAUGCUCCAUUGAUGGAUUUAUUUACUCAUAUUAGCUCUCUAGGCACUCGCAUGAAGGAGUUUGUUGUAGUUAGUGAUACAUGGUUCUACUCCAUAGAGGAUCGCAUGGAUCAGUAUCAGACUGGCUUCACGUCACAGUUUGAGUAUCUCCAAUAGAGGAUUGAGCAUAUUGAGGAUCACUUGAGCAUGAGAAGAUGAUGGCUUUUCUAUGCUCUGUGUUUCCACCUCCACCUCGUCAACCUUGAUUUCUUAGAGACCCAUUGUUUUCAUUUUGUAAUGUUGCCAAAAGGGGGAGAUAUUUAGGAUCUAGGACUCUAUAGGAGACUUACAUGCAUAUCAUUUUCAUAUCAUUGUUUGGAUCGUACAUAUUGGAUAGUGAUACUUUUUACUUAUAUAUGAUAUGCCUAUAUGUUUCAUGUCUUACAUUGUUUCUUAUUGCAAAUUAUCUCUAACAUGUCUUGAUUAUCUUUUUUUUAACUUCAUAAAUUUUGAUUGUUAACCCAUGAUUGGUUUGAGGGGAAGAUUCUUCUUCUCCUAGAUAACCAAGGUUUGUCAUCAUAAAAAAAUUGGAGAUUGUUAGCCCAAGGGUUCUCCUAAUCAUGUUUUGAUGAUAACAAACCAUGCUUAAGUUACUAAUUGGUUUGAAUUAUAAAGAAUUUCAAGUGUUAAUUUGAAAAUUCAUCAAAGAACCUAAUGGAUGCAAGAUCAAGAUUUUUGGAAGACCUUUAAUCAUAAGAAACAUAUGUAAGAUGAAUGCAUGGGUGCACUUAAGAUUUGCAUAUCAUUUCAUGCAUAUUUGGAAAACACGGUUUAUGCUUUAAAGUUACAUUUCCAUCAAAAUUUGAGAUCCAUCAAAUGAACCUUAGGAAAAAUGUUUUAAAAUUGGCAUAUAAUUUUACCUAAAGACCUUGCCUAAGUGUUAGAAGCAAAAGGACAAAAAAAAUAUAGGUUUUCUGGUCAAAAAUGGUGAACCAGUCAAGGCAUUGUCUAAAUCAGCUCAAUCGGCCAAGGUACCGGUCGAUCGGUUUCCCUUUCCCUGUCGAGAUCUAGUCAAGAGGUACAAAAAUCACAAUCUCUGUCUCUUUCUCUCUUUGUCUAUCUUCCAGUAGUCUUUCCUUCCCGGUCGAGGGAUUUGCCUUCCCGAUUGAGGUCCGAUUGAGAGUAAUAGUCACUUGCCAAAUAUUAAAUGCUCCAACAGUUAGUGAACUGGUCGACCCCCACCUUGCCCAGUUGAGGUUACUUUUUGGUUUUCUUGGCUCCCGAUGUUAGAAACCUAUAAAUAGAGAGUUCCACUUCAUUUAUGAGCAAGAGAACACUUGCAUUUAUUUGUUUACCUACUUGUUCUUGCCUUAAAAGCUCUCAUUUCUUUUCUUGGUGCAUUAAAUCUCCAUUUUGAUAUCCUUUAGUGCACCUUUGUGAUUCAUCUUAGCCUUGAGUUGUAUUUGAGCCCUUUUUUUAGCUAGGUUGAGAGUUUCAUACUUGUUAAUUGAGUGUUAAAGCCUUCAAGUGAGUUGAAACUUGUAGAGAUUAUGUGAGAGUCGAUUGGAGCCGAAAUCCAAGUGUAAAGGUGAUUAGAAGCUUGGUUGAAGCUUCAAGUUAGUGGAAUCCUCACUCAAUUAGGAGCUUGAGGAGAGUGGACGUAGCCAAGGAAGUGUCGAACCACUAUAAAAUUUGAGUUUGAUUUCUCUAACAUUGUCUCUUUAUAUUUGUUUAUCUUGUGCUUAAAUUUAUUGUGUUUAAAAAGAAUUUUUAAAUACCCAAUUCACCCCCCUCUUGGGUGUUUUUCUCUUUUAAAAUUAGCCUUUAUUUUCUCACAAACUAUUGUAGUAUAGUGGUUUUUAGGUGUCAUCCAUUAGGAUGAAUUGUUCUCGGUAAUUAAGGCGUGAAUGAGAGGAGAAUUAAUGAUUGUGAUUAAGUAAAAUUGAUUUGAAAAUUCAUGGUGAAAAAUCAAUUUAACAAUGGUUUCUAAUUGAGAAAAACAAUGAAAUGUGAAAUAAAAUAAAAUUAAUAGGAAAUGAAAUUCUCGAAGUUAGAAUUUUCUAAAAAACAAAUUCCAUGGUGAAUGGAUGUUGAGAUCUAAUUUUCAUCAAGUUAGAUUGAAAACCGAAAUUUUCAUAUAAACUGAUUUUUUAUUUAGUUUUAGGUCUAGAUUUAAUUUCCCUUAAAAUUAGGUUAUUUAAUCCAAGAAAUCAAUUCAAAUCAUAUAUUCAAUUCAUCUUAAAUUAUCUUCCAAUUAUUCACACAAUGCAACUAUUCAAUCUCAUCAAAUCUAGCUUUUAAGAAUUUAAUGAAUCUACCUAGUUUGCAUUGUAAUAGUCAUCCAUGACAAUUUGAAGAGAAAAAUAAUUCAAUUAAUCAAUCACUUGGAUCAAAUUACCUUUGCAAUUAAAGUUCAUUUCUCUAAUUCACCACAGAUUUUGUCUCUAGAUCCUCCUUUCUCAAAGAAAAAUGAGAUUUAGCCACACAUGAUUGGAGAUUUGGUCUCAUAAGGCAUGUUUAGCUAGUGAUAAAAUGAGAGAAAAUAAAGAAAAAUAGAGAAUUCGAUUAAGAAAGAAAAUCUAAAAAAUUCUACAAUUAGAAAUGUCCAAAAAGCUUUUUCAUGAGAAAAUCAAGUUUCUAUUUAUAGGCCAAGGUCAAGUGGACACUUGACAUCAUCUAAGAGGUCUUCCGGAAGCUUCUUCAUCAAGAAAUCUGGAGUUUAAUAAUAAAAUGGUCAUUUCACAAGAGCUCAAACAAUUUCGCAUGAUUAUGUGAAAUAAAAAAUGCAACAACAGCAAUUUACAUCUUCUUGGAGCAUUUCGCAUGACUGUGUGAAAUUUUCACAUGAUCAUGUGGAAUCGACUUGACAACUCUCAUUUAGCCUACAACAUAAUUCCACCUUUUGGUCCAUUUUUCAUAGUCAUGCGAAAUGGAAAUAUUUGAUUUUUAAGUUUUCUUUUGUCAUUUCUUUCAUUUCCUUCUCUUGAUUCCACUUCAACUACCUCCGAAUCCUGGUCCAAACCAAUUGCAUUACUUCUUUCAUUAUGCAUUUGGAUCAUCAUCAACAUUAUUUGUUCUCUUCAAUUUGAUUCAUCUCUUUUGUCACCAAUUUAUCAAAAUCAUACCUUGAAAUGACUCCAAAACUUCAUAAAACUUGUUAGUAACUCUUGCAAGGGCAACAACAUAUUAAUUAAGUGUUUUAGGCAUAGUUACUACUCAAAAGAUGCGAAACUCAUGAUAAUUAUUAUAUAAAAUAUGCUCUUUUUGAGUAGUAAUCAACUUUCUUGCAUAAGCAGACCUUUUAGGGUGGAGUACUAAAGACCAAUAUGCUUGUCCUUGUUGUAAUAAAGAAACUUGCUCUUAUUGAUUGCACCAUGGGAGAAAAUUUUGCUACAUGAGUUAUCAUCAAUUUCUUCCCACCAAUCAUAGAUUUAGACGUGACAAGAGGCCUCUUAAUGGCAAGGAGGAACUGACACUCACACUUAUACAAUUAUCGGGCAUUGAUGUGUUGCAACAAUUAGAAUAACUUACACCAAUUAUGUUGGGGAAGUCACAAAAGGCAAACAUGAAAACUAAAAGGAAAAAAGAAAAAUGUUACAUAUCACCACAACUGGAAAGAAAAAAGUAUUUACUUUCAUUUGCCAUAUUGGAAAGCACUUAUUUUACAUCAUAAUAAUUUAGACAUAAUGCAUAUUGAGAAAAAUGUGUGACAAUAUAAUUGAGACAUUGUUCAGUAUUGACGAAGAAACAAGGACAACCUAAAUAGUCAUCUCGAUUUACAAGCUCUAACUAUUAGAAAUGAGAUUCACCCAAUAGAAAGCAGGACCAAAUUUAUUUUGCUUGCAACAUGCUACUCACUCACCCCAAAUGAGAUUAAGGAAUUUUGCAAGUUUUUGAAAUCAAUAAAGGUCCCCAAUGGCUAUUCUUUCAAUAUCUCUCGUUAUGUGCAACUCAAUGAAAGGAAGAUAUAUGAGCUCAAAUUGUAUGAUUGUCAUGUCCUAAUGCAACAACUUCUCUCACUUGUAGUUCGUGGAGUUCUACAUAAGAAUGUUUGUGGAGUUAUCAUAGAAUUGCGUAAUUUUUUCAAGCAAUUGUGCUCAAAGGUGUUAGAAACAAAUCACUUACACCAACUUGAGAACAAUAUUAUUGUCAUACUAUGUAAAAUGGAGCAAAUAUUUCUUCCAUCAUUCUUUGAUAUUAUGGUGCAUUUACUUGUGCAUCUAGUAAGGCAAAGGUUGCAAGACUUGUGCAAUAUUGUUGGAUGUACCUAAUUGAACGAUAUUGUUAUAAUUUCAUAUGAAUCAUUUAAUUUUAUUUUAUAUUAUGUUCAGUUCAUUAACAUGUACAUUGGUCUACAUAUGGAUGAUGAUAGGUACCUAAGCACUUUAAAGUCAUAUGUGCGUAAUAGAACUUUUCUAGAAGGUUCUAUUGUAGAAAGGUACCUUGCAAAAGAAUGUACAACAUUUUAUUCUAGGUACUUGAAUGAUGUGGAAAUAAAGUAUAAUCACAAUGAUAGAAACUUUGUUGGUUUCAACACUAGAGGAGAUGAAAGGGGUUAUCUUUAAACAUAUUGGACAUGCAUUGGGAAAGCCCAUAUUUCAUUAACUUAGUUCAAAAGAGUGGUCACAAGCACAUUUAUAUGUGUUGACAAAUUGCGAAGAUGUCAUACCAUUCAUUGAGUAAAAAAUUUAUUUGAAUUUUAAUUAAAGCUCUAGUUUAUAUCCUUAAUCAAUGUUUUUUAAAUUCACAAGGAGCACAAGCAAACCAUCAAGGCUAGACCACAUAUACGUGUUUGAGACGUAGAUUUAAUUCAUAACAAGGAAUUUAUCAAGUGGUUUGAAAGACAUGUAAGUAUAUUCCUUAUUAUAAGGGAUUUAUUUCACAUUAUGUUUAUAUUGAAUCCAAACCUAUUAUUGAAUUGUAGGUUGAACAAUUACAUAAUGAAGGUCAUAUAUCUGAACACCUUCUCACAUUAUCAUGUGUUCCAAAUUCAUUAGUUACAUGCUUCAAAUGAUAUAUUGUCAAUGGAUUUAGAUCCCACAUUAAAGAACGUGAUAAAAAAGUUUUUAAAAAAAGACUCAGAAUAAUGGAAUUGUUGUAGUUGCAAAAACGUCAAGCUUUACAAGUGCAUGUGAUAUGAGUCCAAUUAUUAGUGAUGCUCUCUACUAUGGUGUUCUAACUAAAGUUGUUGAGUUACAUUAUCUUGGUGAAAAUAAGGUUGUUUUAUUCGAGUUUGAUUGGUGGGAUGUUACAAAUAUUGGAAAAUUGAUAAAAGAUGAUGAGUACAAUUACACAUUUGUUAACUUUGCAUGAAUUCUAACCACGAACGAACGAUUUGUACUUGCAUCUCCAGCAAAGUAAGUGUUCUAUGUGAAGAAUGCGAAUGAAUCAGAUUGGCAUACUAUCAUGGAGAUGCAACCUCAAGACCUCUAUAAGAUGAACGGGAUAGGAUCCAAUGGUGAUUUUGAACCAUUUCAACAAAGUGAACUACAUGAUCACUAAUAUAUCUCAGAUUUAGUUGAUGAAGAUAUAAUCAAGUGGAACAAAAGUGAUGUUUUAGGACUAAUCAUCCUAAAAAAUAUUGUAGUUUCUUAAAAAAAAAAUGAAAAUGAAGAAGAUAAUUGAACCUUUGUCAUACUUUAAAAAGCAACUAUGCAUUGUUCAUUUUGUAUGUUUUGGUUUUCUUCAUUUAAUUUCCUGAUUUUUGUGAUUCAAUGUCAUAUUAUUGAUCUUGAAAUAUUUUUCUAAUUUUUCAUUCUACGAUGGUUUCAACAAGGAUGACAUCAAGUCAAAAAAGGAAAUGUGGUCCCACACACAAUAUUGCAUUACAGGGAUUAAGGUCAGGGAAGAAGGUAAAAGUUGCAUUUAAUGAGUACAAUCAAUUGGUUAAACAGAAAAAUGGAAAACACUUAUCGAGCUACAUAGGGACACUUGUAUCUAACCAACACAAUGUACCUCUCCAAGCUAGUGAUUGGAAAAAUGUUCCAAAUGAUGCAAAAGAGAAAGUAUGGCCUUUGUUUUGGUAUGUUGUAUUUCUCACUAUAUGAUGUCAUUUCACUGUUAUUCUAUUUUGUGACUAACGUUUGAAUCAUAUGUAAGAAAAAUUUGAAGUAGAUAAAGACUGAAAAGAUUACAUGUUGGGUAUAGCCUCAAAUAAAUAUAGAAGCUAUAAAAAUAUGAUGAAUGCAAAAUACUAUGACCCUUGGCAUAAGGAUGCAUGAGGAGAGGUUAAUACAUAAAUCACCAUUUGUCUCUGAUGUUGAUUGGAAGUGGCUUGUCUCUGAUGCAUAAACCAAAUCCCCCACUGAAUGUUUGAUAUUUGAUAGCAGGAAAAACACACCCGCAGCUAUACACCUCCAUCAUUCAGAUAAUUAUAGUGGGGGAGAUGAUUCAUGGUUGCCCUUAUACCCUUUAUUUGCACCAUCUAUUGAGAUUCUUUAUCAUGGCCAGGUUUUACUGCAGCAAUAAGAUAUGGUGGCAACAAUUUUAUCUAUAGGUGCGGUUCCAGACCGCCUCCAUAGGUGCGGUUCCUGACUGCCUCCAUAGGUGCCUCUUCUUGUAAUGUUUGUUCUGGGAAUUACACUUGAAAGCCUUAUCGUGAUAAGGGAUUACAAACACUAGUUCAGAGGACAGCCAUGUUAAACUUCCACUAUGUUUGUGUCACAUUAUCAGCAGCCUAGUGUUUAUUGGUCAUGCUAUCUGCAACUAAUAUAACCCGGUGAACUUCAAUCUAAAUUCUGAAAGUACUCAUGUGACAGAUGGUGCCUUUCAGCAGAUAUCAUCAAUUUAAAAGUAGUGUGUGUGCCUAUAGGUGGGAAGGCCUUGGCAAAUGUUCAGUAUUCCGGUAAUUCAAGAAGGAUAUAUCUAAAAUAGAUUUUCUUCUUGCCCAUUUCAAUAGUUAAAAUUUGAGAAGAUUGUGUCCACAUCACACAAAUAUUAUUGGUCCUUCUGUUGCAAUUUACCUCUGAACAUGUCUUCCAAUUCCCACGGUCCUGUUACUCCAGGAAAACUAUUUCGGUCAUAUUGAAAAAAAAAAUAUUAAAGAAGGUACACAUGCUUUUAAGUGGACUGGGGCAUUCAUAUCAGGUGGUCUGUAUCCACAUAUGCCACUUCGUGAAAGGUGGAACAGCCUAAUCACUAGGCUAUUUAGUGUGGCCCAGCCACGUUAAUCAAGCACAAGUCUUCAUACUUAAAGUCAAAUGGUGUCUUUAGUCUCAUUACACAUCGCUAUUUGAAGAUUAACUCAUCACUAGUGUAAUGCGAUUAAGACAGUCCUAACUCAAUAUUUGUUCUAGUUUUGGAUGCAAAUGCUUGCUGGUUUCAUCAUUGGAUGGGAUAAAGGUGCAAUCAGGACUAUGAAUACGUGCAGUAAUACUUCAUUCUCUUUUUUCUCAAUGAGACUUCUUGGCACAAUUUUGCUGCUCAGCAACCUACCUUUCCAUGGAAAAUCAGUUGUGACUGAUAGUAAUGGAUAUAUUCUAGAAAGCUAAACAUAGAUAGCAUUCAAUAUUAUCGAUAUAACAUUAACAGCGUAUGUCUCAAUGCUCAUCAGCUACAAGCAAUGGACAAACACUUUGAGUAACUCACAGCAGUCAAAAUUCCUAAACAGGACAGACGUGACAGAUCUAUAUAUAGAACACUGCAUAUGAGUCACAGGAAAAGAUAAUACGGGUACAUAGAAGCUCUUAUUUUACAUAUUACUCAUACUGAUCAAAGUCGCUCAGUUGGGAUGGAUGGGAGAAGGAGGUUUGAGGGGUGGCUUGUGCGGGGAAGUUGGCAGCUUCUUUCCGGGAGCUGGUUGCUUCUUUGCUGGAGUUGAAGGAGGCUUAAUCUUCCGAGGUGGCUUGUAUGAGUCUUCAGCAUUCUCAGCAGGAGGGUGACCAGGGUUGUGACCAUAAUGUGGUGGCUUCUCUCCCUUAGGUGGUUUGCCAACUGGGGUUGGUGGCUUGUUUUCUGGGAGUGGCUUCUCUCCCUUGGGUGGUUUGCCAACUGGGGUUGGUGGCUUGUGUUCUGGGAGUGGCUUCUCCCCCUUGGGAGGUUUUUCGAAUGGGGUGGGUUUGUGUCCUGGUGGUGGCUUCUCUCCCUUGGGAGGUUUACCAAUUGGGGUCGGUGGCUUGUGUUCUGGGAGGGGCUUCUCUCCCUGGGGAGGUUUAGUGGGUGGCUUGUGUUCUGGAGGUGGCUUCUCCACCGGAGGCUUAUGCUCUGGUGGUGGCUUCUCGAAGGGGGGAUGCUCAGGGUAAUCACCAAGUGAGGGGGUGGUGAGAACCACCAUGCCAAGCAACAACACUAGCAAGUAUGUAGUAGACAUCUUUGGGUUUGGACUCAGACAGUGCAAAACUACGAGAAAUCGCUAGCCCUUUAUAGCGGCUCGGACCUAAUACUGACAUAAUAUAAAAUAAAUAUUAUAUUUUAUCAAGAGAGAACAGAGUGUAAUUUUAUCAUUAAUACCGAUCGAGGCCAAAGAAAGAAGACCCAUAAUCCAUUUCCCACAAGCAUACACAAUGCAGCUGUAAUUUUAUCAUUUACUUUUAUCCCUUGGACCACUGCAUUUUUGUUGAGAGACACAAUAACACAUUUUUAUCUGUCAUUCAACAUUUACAGUAAAGAGAGGGCACAAAACGCAAUUAGAUAAAUUAUGUUUUGCCUGCUAAAAAGAGGCAAAUAACUUUAUUUGCAACAUAAUUAUUUUGGUUUCUAGUGACCCCGGGGCCUUUCGGUUGGUUUGGGAUCGGAAAAUGAACAUCAUAGGGGGGGUUGUGCCCUUAUGGGCAUAUAUAUCUGAUAGCUUCAACUGGCCUUGUUCCUAGAAAGAAAUUGCCAAAGAUAUAAACUUAUUCCAGGCUGAAAGUAGAUGAGAGUCAUAAUGAACAUCAACCUUUGUUCAGUUUGAUUCAAUGCCCCCAUAGUGUUCAUUUCACAGAUCUGAAUGAUUAUAUCCGUUGAAUACAUAAAUUAAUGAAGACAAAUAUGAAACCCAAGAUACAUCUCUGCAUAACAACCCCAACCCUGGUUGCUAUGUUUCCCUUCUUCUAUUCACAUGAGGAUACUGGUUAUAAUUGUCAAACUUGCAACAAGCCCUUUGACACCUAACGUCAAUGGACGAAUUAAAAGUCUCCUUCAAACGUCUAUUUCACAGCAUGAAGCUUAUAAAGGAUGCUGACAACCUUCAGAGUUAGCGACAAAAGAUAAUUAUCAAGGAGAGAUAGUUCCAUGAGAAUUCCAAGGAGUCUGAAUCAAAGACAAAUUGCUCACUCAAGGGUUCUUAUUUUCUUUUAGGUACAAAUCUCUUGAGUGUUGUUAAAGAAACACGUCACUGUCAUUUUGAUUUGCAUUUAACAUUUCACUUUUGUUCUGGAAGGUUUGUUCCGGAAACAUAUCAAAUGAGCAUCAUUUUCUUCUUCGGUGACACAUGGUCGCGAGUACGUGGGUCCAUUUUCAUGCCACUUAGUUGAAAAGUUGGAAAGAAAAAACAUGCCAACAAGAAGAUAGUGAGAGAAGGGGCACUUCAAGCCUUUAACAUGAACAAACAGUAAAUAAAAGAUGUUUCUCCACUCAUAAAAGUGUGUUAGAUAGCAAUAUAACGAAUCACAUCCAAAAUCUUUACUAGGCUCAAACAUAAAGAAGACUCAUUUUUAAGAAAAGAUAAAAAUGGCAUUGUCUGAUAGUAUCCAAUACACGAGAUGGCACUUAAUUUGUACAAGAUCUGUCAAUGCUGACGCACAUUUUCUGAUUAAAAAAAAACUGAUCAGUCAAAAGCAAUGAAGAGAAGUGAUGACAAUGAAUGAUGCUUCCAAUAUUUUCACCCCUUAUAGUGUUCUUCAUGAUUCAGAUAUAUAAUUGGAAAUAGAACAACCCUAUGCCAUACAUUCGUCUAAGUAUGGUGUCUAAUUUUUUGUGUCAGCGGUUGCGAAUGGAGCGUGCAAAAGUCCAAAUUGGCGUCUCUCCAUUUCCACAUAGGAAGGUGACCUUUAUUGACAAAUACCCAAUAUUUGUAGACAUUCCUUAAAUAUCAUAACUUCUUGUUGAUUUGAAAAUCAUUUUUCAACUACCAUGUUUUAAUAAAUAUUUUUUAAAAUGUAUUUUUAUCAAAGUCCACCAUGAUGGAUAAUAUUCACCAUGCAAUAAUUAAUAAAGUACAAACUAAGCGAAAUGAAAAGCAUUUUCUUUGCUUUGAGUUGAUUUUGGUUGCAUUGAGUUGAUUUUGGUUUCAUGGUUUUUUCAACUCUUAUUUUGAUUGGAAGAUGUCAAGAAAAGAAAACAUAAAGAAAAAUUAAAAGGGAAAAAAGAAGAAAAAUAAAAAAAAAUAGAUUUAAAAGUUAAUAAAUUAUUUUUUAUAUUUAUUUUAAUUCAUUUCACUUAUUUUUCUUUUACUAUAUAAAAUUUAAAUAAUUUAAAUUUUAUAAUUAAUUUAAUUACAUUUCAUUUUCUUCUAUAUUUAAAUAUUGGAAAAAUAUUUUACUUAAUAUUUUUUUCUUUAAUUUCUUUGGCAUUUUGGGAACCAAACUUAGCCUUUAAAAUAAAAAACAAAAAAAAAAUGAAAAUAAGGAGGGAAAAGUGAGAAAAGAUAAAAACAAUAUGUAAAGGAUUUGAAAAGUAUUAGUUUGUAAUUACUAUUUGGAUUUCAAUAGUAUUUUAUUUGUCUUUCUAUAUUUCAUGUAAGAGAGAAUUUAAGAUAUUCCCCAAGGCAAAGCAUUAGUUACCUGCAAUCAGUGGUGAUAAGGCUCCAAGCCAAUUUUGGGCCCCAUAUCUUAAGACAGUACAAUUUCCAUUUCAACAUUUCUGAUUUCUCAGAUGUUUCACAUACCACAGAAGAACAUUGUUUGUGAAAAUAUGCAUUUAUGUUGGAUUUUGUAUGCUGUGGGGACUGGGGCAAGGAUCAUAUGGAAGAGUGGUUGACUUUUUCUGUACUUUAACGGUUGAAAUAGGAUAAGCACGGGCAUUUGUGAGGCUUAAUUGAUUUUGAAGCCUGAAAUUGCGUUUCUGUCAUUUUGUCAAAAAAAUGGCAGAUUCCAUACUCAUAUGUUUGGCCUGUGGCCAUGUACAGAUGCCAUUUAGUGACCAGUUUGUAACUGUCAAUCGUUGCGUUUUGACUCUGCCUCAACAACAUCUGCCAUUGACGGGUUUUCAUACUUGCAAAUCAAAUAGUCUUUCGUCCCAUCAGGAAUUUCGGUUUAAAUAUUAUUAAGCAUACGUUUGGCUGACAAUCAUUAUCCAGUUCAUGAUUUGGUUUCUUACCCUUAAUCAAUGGUUUCUAAGUGAAUAUAUGUAGAAGGAAAUCCGAAGUGUAGACAGUAGUAUCGAUAACUCUCAAUAUUCUCUAUAUAAUAGAAUAAACAGCGUCAUAGUGAUCGUCGCCUACAAGCAAGGUACAAAUACCAAAACGAGUGACUCACAUAGACAUCUCCCAACAAGAUGUAGUAGUGACUGACACAUGGACACAAUUAACUCGUAGAAAAGGAUAAGACCAUUGCACAGCAGCUCUUAUUUUACAUACUACUUAUGCUAACCAAAGUCAAUUAGUUGGGAUGGGUGGGAGAUGGAGGUUUGUGCGGUGGCUUGUGGGGCGGAGUUGAUGGCUUCUUUCCAGGAGCUUCUGGCUUUUUCAUCGGAGCUGAAGGAGGCUCAAUCUUAUGAGGCGGCUUGUAUGAGUCUUCUUUACUCUCGACAGGAGGGUGGCCAGGGUUGUGAUCAUAAUGUGGUGGCUUCUCUCCCUUAGGUGGCUUGCCAACUGGGGUUGGUGGCUUGUGUUCAGGAAGUGGUUUCUCUCCCAUGGGAGGUUUAGCAAUUGGGGUUGGUGGCUUGUGUUCUGGGAGUGGCUUCUCUCCCUUGGGAGGUUUAGUAGGUGACUUGUGUUCUGGAGGUGGCUUCUCCACCGGAGGCUUGUGCUCCGGUGGUGGCUUCUUGGUUGGAGGGGGCUUGGGGUAAUCAGCAAGAGAUGGGGUGGUGAGAACCACCAGUCCAAGGAACAACACUAGCAAGUAUGUGGGAGACAUUUUUGAGUUUGGGCUGAUCAGAUGAUGCAAAACUAAAGCAUUACGUGACCUUUUAUAGCAUGUAGCUCCCAAUACCCACUAAGUAUUGUGGGGUCCAUUUGUGCCCUACGGGGUUGAAAACUUAGACAAUUGGGCAAGGACCCACCUGACUAUGGAGGACUAGUGAGGUGUGAUCAUAGCUUUAGGAUUUUUCUUCCUCUGCAGCCGUCGUGCCGUUGGCAUGAUUUUCUUAAUCUUAAAUAAAGGCAUAGUUAUAGAGUUGUUUAAUCUCUAAAUGGGAUUUUAUAUAUAUCUUCAGAUAGCCAUUAAUAUAUUUGAUGAAGAAAGAAAGACAAGUGCAUACAACAUGUAUACGACUAGCUUUCAUGGAGUUCAUUUAUGAUCAGUUUUCCUGUACAUGUAAACCAGGAUCAUAUAUAUGUUUCUGUUCCACAACUAUUUUGGAAUCUUGUUUAUCAGUUUUUAUCAUUAUAAUGUCACAUAGGCUGCCAACUUGGGCGCUAAAAGAACCAGUUGGGCUAGUUCGUUUCAGAAUUUCAAUGUGGAUUCAGGAAUUGUUUUGUAAGAUAUGCGAAAUAGUAGAGGGAUGAAUAGUGUUUCAUUAAUAAAAGUGUCCUGUAAAUUAGAAGGUGUCAUAGAAACUAUAAUCAAUAAAUAACUUUUUUUCCCCACGGGUGGUGUUUCUUGUGGGGAUCAGUGACUGGUUUAGGUUCACCCAAAAUGAGUUCAGACUAAAAUUGGUUUGAGUCAAUGCCGUGUCUCUUUUUUCCAGAAAUCAACUAUUUUAUGCAUUGAAUAAAUCAUACAAAGAAAAUAUGAACGCCCGCAAAACCUAAACCCUGGUUGCUAACUUUCUAUGUUUCAGUUCUAUUCACGCAAGAAUAUUAGUUUAAGUUUGGGAAAAAUGGCAACUUACCUAGUGAUUACUUGGUUUUGGUUUGCGACUAUUUACGCAACCAACCAUGAGUUUGACUUUAACGUCAUGGGUUGAAGCCUCCUACAGGAAGGGAGAAAGCUCCACAGCUAGCUCCAAAAGAGAAUUAUCACAUUGAUAGCUCCAGAGAUUCCCAAGGGGACUGAAUCAAAGACAAGUUCCUCACUUUUUCUUCUUUUGAGGCCAAAUAUGAACCAAGGAUCACACAACCUCAUUCAACUUCAUAAGUUUGAUUUCAUGCAGUUGAACACUGGGUGAAGGCCAUGACAAGAAUUGAUUCAAAAAUUCUAUCACUCUUUUAAGUAAUGGAAGAUUAUUAUCUCUGAUUGGCAUCACAACAGCACAUGCUCCUAGAUCUUUCUAGACACUCCAUGCAAUGAAAGCACAAUGGAUCUUGUAACGAUAGAAACUAAGCCAUGCUACAGUACUAGAUGAUGAGGUAAAACUAGUAGACACGGGUGGCAGCCUAUAUGGGAGGGACACAAGUCUAAUUGAUUUGCAUUUCAGCAUUAUAGAUAGGUAUGUUUUGGAAGAUUUGUUCUGGAAAUACCGCACCAAGUAGGAUUCUUUUUCUCUUUAGUGGGUCCACUUGCAUGCCAAUUAACGAGUUGAAAAGUAUGAGCACCUACCUCGUGCUCGUGGAACCGAAGGUCAGUGAAGUGGGGCUCCUUUUGGCCUCGUGUAAACUUGAUUCAGAAGUGAAGUUAAUAGUCUUCCAUUCAGAUGGAUACAUGGGAAUUUUUCUCUUUUAUUUAUUUAUUUAUUUUUUUUUUGUGUGUGUAUGUCAAAGGAUAAUGAAUGAAGCGCGUUAGCUUGUUUUCUGACUGGAACCGCAGAUGUCCAAAUUGGAGUUCCUUCAUUUCUUACUUAGGAUUGUUACAUGUAUAAACAAGGUAUAAGAAAUAUGCCAACGUGUCUUGAGGAGUUAUUGAUUAGAAAUAACAAGUCACCCGACUGUAGAGUUCCAAGAUUUGAAUCUUCAGACCCUAUAGCAGCCUCUGGGGUACGUGGCAUCCUAUAGCAUAUUAAUGAAGGCUUUUUCGAUUUAGACUUCACAAUACCAAUUAAUAUGUAUGCACAAAAUGGAGAUGACCCCAAAAAAAACAGAAUCGCCAUAGUUUAUGAGGUUAAGGUGAUUCUCCACUUAAUAUCUACAUUAGCUAAUUAUGUAAAUCAAAUGAACUUCUAUUUUUCCUUUUUUUUUUUGGUUUAUGUCAAAUAGUAGCCCAUAAUUAACCCAACCAUUAGCCUGUUUGAAUUGAUUUCACAUGCACAAUGUUGUAGUAGUUCAUAUUUUGAAUUUUAUUUUUACAAAGGUAGUUAAGGAAAAUGAAGUAUAAUAAUUAUAAAAGCAGACUAUAUACACUACAAUAAUUGUUAGAAUGGUAUCUCAAAUUCUAAUUUAAAAUAUUAUUUUUUGUAAAAGAAAUAUUAUAUAGAAUAUUUCCUAAUUUUAUAAAUGAUUAUAAUUAGAUCUUUAUAAAAUAAGGAAAGUUGGUAAGAAUAUCUUUAUAAAUAUUUUAGGUCAUGAGAGAAAGAAAUGGGAUAAAAAUGUGAUGAAGAGGUGAAAUAAGAGAGUUGAUUAGGAUAUAGAUGUGAAGAAGAAAGGGAUUCAAUAUAUAUAUAUCUUUCAAUUACCACAUUAAAACCCUGUGAACCUUUUAUAUGGUUUACUUUAUUUUUAUAUUCCUCCUUUAAUAUAUUUACAUUAAUGCUUCCAUUGGCACAACAAUAACGAAUUACAAAUACAAGCAACAAGUCCCAUGUUUUAUUACCAAAAGCAGGUAAAAUCCACCUAAUAUAUUACAAUAUAUUCAUCCAAUAUUUUAGACCAAUUCUUCACCAUAAAUAUCAUAAUGUGGCUUUUGUUCUUUCUUAAAUUUAAAUUGAAUUGUCUUAUAUCAAUUUGUUUGUGAUUUUUUCAUUAACUUCACUUUCAUUUGGUUAUCUUUGGUUUUUGAAAAGUAUUAAGGAAUUAAUUAACAAAAUAAUGUUAAGAAAAAUAAUUUUCUCUCUUUUGAUUUUGAUUUUGUAGUAGAAAAAUAUAAUUAAAAUUAUUUAAAAAGUAUGUAAUUUUAAAUUAUUUAAUAUUUAGAUAAAAAAAAUAAGUCUAAUGAGUUUAAAAUAACAUAUAAAAAUAAUUUAUUUAUUUUAAAUUUAUUUUUUAUUUUCCAUUAUGUUCUCUUUCUCUUUUACUUUUUCAUAUUUUUUCUUACGAAGAAUCAAACACAACCUCAUAUUAUAUGUCAAGUGUUUGUCUAUAUUUGAGCAAUGUUAGAUACGGCCAUGGAUUCAUCAAACUAAACUGAUUUUAAUAGAUACUUCACAAAUUGAUUUAUACACUAAAUCAUUGGAUAGCAAUGAUGCAUUGGAAUUAAACGUAGGAUGAAGCUCGAAGAACACUGUUUGUGUAACAACAUAUUUAUGAAAUUAUGCAAAGGAUGAGCUUCGGGGUAGUAGUACAAGGUCAUUAAUGGAGAGCCGUGUUAAACCUUGAUUGUGAUUGGAUUCCGUUAUCAGCAACAGCAACCUUGUUUGUAACCUUGAAAGUCAUUCUGUCCACAUCGAAACUCCAAUUUGACGUUUGUAAUUACCAUUCCUGGAGUGUUCCUUGAUUGAAAUUUAAAUAAUAAUUGCGGCCCACAAGGAAUAUUUUCGAUUCUGUGGGAAUUUGACAAGGUUUGUUAGAGAAGACUGGUGACAUGUUGACUUCAAUGGUUCAAAUAGGAGACGUAUGUGGAUUUGGGGGGUUUAAUUGAAACUGAGUCCCUAUGGCUUUUUAAUAUUUGCAUUGAGCAGUCUCCAUGUGACUUCCUAAUUCCCACCAACCCUCCUGUCCAUGCUGUGAAACUAAAUUGUAAUUUAUCAGCCUUUGUCAAUGGUUUCUAAAUUAAAGAUAUAGACCAUGCAUGUACUUUAAUAAAAGCAAAUCUAAAGUGUAGAUAGCAGCAAUGGUGACACCCAAUAUUCUCCAUAAAAUAGAAUUAGAAUAAGCAGUGUUACAUUGUUCAUGAUCACCUACAAGCAUACAAGAACUUCCAUGAAUAACUCAUAGCAAUUGCCAACAGGGCGUCGUAGAGACUCAUACAUAGAACACUAUCCACCCAGAGGAAAGGACAAGACCAGUGCGCUGCAGCUCUUAUUUUUCACAUGUAUACCACCACUCGUAAUAACCAAAUUCACUCAGUUGGGAUAGGUGGGAGAUGGUGGUUUGUGGGGUGGCUUGUGGGGAGGAGUUGGAGGAGGCUUUAUUUUCUGAGGCGGCUUGUAUGAGUGUGCAGGAGGAUGCCCGGGAGUGUGACCAUAAUGUGGUGGCUUCUCUCCCGUAGGUGGUUUGCCAAAUGGGCUUGGUGGCUUCUCUCCCUUAGGAGGUUUACCAAUUGGGGUUGGUGGCUUGUGUUCUGGGAGUGGUUUCUCUCCCUUGGUAGGUUUGCCAAUUGGGGUUGGCGGCUUAUGUUCUGGGAGUGGCUUCUCUCCCUUGGGAGGUUUGCUAAUUGGGGUUGGCGGCUUAUGUUCUGGGGGCGGCUUCUCUCCCUUGGGAGGUUUGCCAAUUGGAGUUGGCGGCUUAUGUUCUGGGAGUGGCUUUUCUCCCUUGGGAGGCUUGCCAAUUGGGGUUGGCGGCUUAUGUUCUGGGGGUGGCUUCUCUCCUUUAGGAGGUUUGCCAAUUGGAGUCGGCGGCUUAUGUUCUGGAAGUGGCUUUUUUCCCUUGGGAGGUUUGCCAAUUGGGGUUGGCGGCUUAUGUUCUGGGGGUGGCUUCUCUCCCUUGGGAGGUUUGCCAAUUGGAGUCGGCGGCUUAUGUUCUGGGAGUGGCUUCUCUCCCUUGGGAGGUUUUGUUGGUGGCUUGUGUUCUGGAGAUGGCUUCUCCCCUGGAGGCUUGUGCUCCGGAGGUGGCUUCUGAAAUGGCGGGGGCUUGGGGUAAUGAGCAAGAGAUGGAGUACUGGUGAGAACCACCAUUCCAAGCAACAAUACUAGCAAGCAUGUGGGAGACAUCUUUGAGUAGUUGUAGCUAAGAUGGCGCAACACUGUAGGCAUUGGGUGGCCUUUUAUAAAGGGCUGGACCCAACAGCCAUAUGACACGUGUCAUGAUGACAAAUGAAGUUGAGGGGAUCCAGAUGGGUCCUACUGAGUCGAAAACUUGCACUAAUUGAUCUGGUGAGAUGACUAUUUCUGUCCUUUUGCCCUUCUCGGCCACCCUGUGCUGUUUUCCUUUUGCACGAUUUUCGUUGCCAAACAAGCAAAUAAUAUUUCGCCAAGAAAGAGGAGAGUGAAUGUGGAAUGCAUCAAGUCCCAUCAAGGAUGGCAGAGAAGAAAUAGAAGAUUGCCCAACUGUGAUAAACAUAGCAUACACGUAGCACCAGGAACUUCAUUUACUUCCAUCUAAUGGAACAUAACAAUCUUCUAAAGUUUUUGCAUGAUUUUGUUAUAUGUCUCUUAGCCUAAAGUUGGAAAUGCGCAACAAAUUUUGUCACUUCUCUAUUUCCCACUGAUGAUGUUAAUUAGCCUUCAUAGAUAUCAUCCUUUCUACAAAGUGCUUCAUUUGUGUGUUAUUGUAAAGUGUAAGAAAAGUAAUUGAACAUGUUCUUUUUCCUUUCAUAGAUGACUUUUGAUGUGCAUUUUAAAAGCAGCGCUGUGAGUCGGUGACCUUGAUUCACACGGAAACUAAGGCUCCUAUAGGACCCACUUUUAGCUGGUUAGGGGUGAAGAAAAUAUCAACUUUUCAGAGUGAUUUAAGUCAAGGCCAAGCCUCACUGUGUCAUUACUCGUGUGAAUUUUAUAUGCACAUACAUACAUAAAUAAAGUAUGAGACCCAAAUAACACCUUCCCUUUACAAACUUAACCCCAGCCGCUCUCUUUCAAUUCUUUUCACACAAGGGUAUUGACUCUAUAAAGGUCAAGAAAAUCAUAAUUUCCUAGGGUUUACAAGGUAAUUGGCUUAAUGCUAAUGUGAAAACAUAAAAGAUAAUAGUAUAUUGUAAGCUAACGAAUAUUCUAUAGUUAUAAUUAUUUGUGAUGUGCAUAAAUAAAUCUUCAUAUAUAUAAUGGAACAAUGAAUAAAGAACCAAUGAAAAAAUACUAUAUAUCAUUGCUUGGCAUUUAAACCGUAUAUGCUGCUCUUUCUAGCUACUCCAUCCACUGAAAGACAACAAGGUAAUCCAUGUUAUAAUGAUAGAAGAUACUGUCUCUAGGCUUUUUGUGAUGAAAAAUAUAAGAUAUGGGUAGGGUUGACCCUUGUAUGUUUGUCCUAUAAACACUUCAAAGUAACAUAUUUUUCUUCUUUAGCAACUCAUAAUGAUGGGGUUCAUUUGCAUGUCACUGAGUUGAAAAGUUGGACAAUUGCCCAUGUCGCCUUCCUCCUAGAUUCCGUAGUUCACGGGAAGGUAACUCAAGUUUGACAUAUUUUGAAUUCUUUUCACUCGGACGUCUUCAUAACCUGACAAAACAAAAAUGAAAAACAGAGGAUUGGUAUAUUAUUCAUGGUAAGCCUCAAAUUAUAGUAGUAUGAGAAAGGAGAAAAAGAUUUUGGGAACUCCAAUCUGGAUAAUUCUCGUUUCUUCUCUUGAAUAAAAAUUUCACUUACCUAACUUCGUUUGGAGAAAUGGCAUAUUUUAAUUUUGUACGUCAUUGCUAAUAAAUGGAGCAAUUUAGCAUGUUUUGUGACUGAAACUGCAAAUGUCCAAUUGGCAUUUCUUCAUUUCCCACUUAGGAUCUGAUCUUGUAGACCAUAUAACGAUAUGUAUCUGUGCAAGCAUUGAAAACUAAUGUGAACUAUGAGGAGUUACAAGCCACUGGACUGUAGAGCGAGUGCCAAGAUUUAAAUCUUCAGGCUCUAUCUGGGUAAGGGGAGGAUAGCGACCUAACCUUUUACCAAAGGCUUAGAAUUUAGACUUUUGGAAAAAAAUUUCUCAUGUUUUGGCUGGAUUUCUUGUGCUUGGCGCAAAAAGGAGAUGGCCUCAAGAAAUAGCAGACUCACUUUUGUUUUCAGCCCUUAAUAAUUCUCCACUGCUUUCCAUAACUACAUGGGUUAUACAUGCAGUCUGCUGCAAUAUUCCAGUUAUAUUUAUUAUUUCAAAGAGGGUGAAUGACUUCACAUGCAAUAUGUUGCAGUAACAACCCAAAUUUUGGCACACCAUCUUAAGAAUAGAAAAGUAUAAUAAAAGAAAUCAAUCAGAGAAUCACUUUGCAUGCAGUUCAUAGAGUUCGCCCAAAAUGGAGCCACAUGUACGGACAACCCCACAAUAGACAAUCUUCUCUAUACAGUAAUAAAAUACAGAAAUGGUUAAUGAAGCUCUGUAUUUCCUUAUCAUAUAUGACCGGUUGAAAACUCAGCAAGUCUUCCUCAAUCACAGACAGUUGGAGUUGCUUCAUCAAAAUCAUGCCUUCAUUACUGGCUUCAUUUUGGUUUCAAUGUCUGUUCUACCCUUAAAUUGGGUCUCUGCUUACUACCGGGAUAUCCUUUAGCGUCCUGCAAUUCUACUAGAUUAAAGAGAAUGACUUAAUUCUGCAUUCUGCCGUCCCUAGUCCAAGUGGUACUAGAAUUGAUGUUUCCUUUAGUGUCCUUUCUUCAUACUUUCAGGUUCUUCCCUUGUUUCAAUAAUGCUGUUUUCCUUCAUGUUUAACCUCUGUUGAACCACUUAAAACAACACAAUUUGCACACCAAUGUUUCUUUACAGAAAAGACUGUUUGCAAAAAUGCACAUGUUAUAAGGUUAAUGGAAGAAUUAAUUUGGGGAUAAGGGACUAGGAUUGGGCCAAUGAAGUUUGGUGUUAAAUUUUGAUUAUGAUUGCUUUUCAUUAUCAGGUACCUUAUAUUUGCUGAUGCUAUCUGGAACUAAAUUCAAAUCAGACAUUAUCCGAUUACUAACAGGACAUAUCAUGUCCCUCUGCAGAGUUUCUAAACUAACAUGUAUCGAAAUGUGGCCCCAAAAGGAAGGCUAGGAAGAUGGAGGAUUUUGUAGGAAUCGACCAGAAUCAGAUGGAAGAGAGAUAGUCCUGUUGACUUUAAUGGUUGUGAUAGGAACAUGCAUCAUUAUAUGAGAAGUUGCAUGAAUUUAUGUAUCCUGUUAUCGUUCCUUGACGAUUUCCCAAUGCAAUUUCACUGUCCACAAGACUAACCUCUCCAUGCAGUCAAAUGAAUUGUAAUUUCUCUAUUGGUACCAGUAGUACAUUUCAUACCAAACAUAUAGUAAAUAUAAAAUAUAAAUAGAUCAAGGAAAUCUGAAUUGUAGAUAGCACUGCAAGUAACACUCAAUAUUCUCUAUAUAUAAUAAAAUAAACAGUGUCACAAUACUCAUCACCCAGUGGCAAGGGAGAAAAACCUACAAUGAGUACUCAAAUCACCAUUCUCAAACAGAAACAUAGCAGUGACUGAUACAUAGAACCUAUAUGCUCACAGGGAAAGAAUAAGAUGACCAGUGCACAGCGGGCAGCAGCUCUUAUUUUACGUACAACUCAAAUCCCAAACUAACCAAAGUCGCUCAGUUGGGAUGGGUGGGAGAUGGUGGUUUGUGGGAUGGCUUCUGGGUAGGAGCUGGUGGCUUCUGUCCCUUUGGUGGUUUGCCUAAUGAGCUUGGUGGCUUGUGCUCCGGGAGUUGUUUCUCUCCCUCGAGUAGGUUUCGAGUCUUGUCAGAUGGCUUGUGUUCUGGUGGUGGCUUCUCUCCCUGGGGUGGUUUGCCGAAUGGGCUUGGUGGCUUGUGUUCGGGGAGUGGCUUCUCUCCCUGGAGAAGGUUACGAGUUUUGUCAUAUGGCUUUUGUUCUGGUGGUGGCUUCUCUCCCUGGGGUGGUUUGCCGAAUGGGCUUGGUGGCUUGUGUUCGGGGAGUGGCUUCUCUCCCUGGAGAAGGUUACGAGUUUUGUCAGAUGGCUUGUGUUCUGGUGGUGGCUUCUCUCCCUGGGGUGGUUUGCCGAAUGGGCUUGGUGGCUUGUGUUCGGGGAGUGGCUUCUCUCCCUGGAGAAGGUUACGAGUUUUGUCAGAUGGCUUUUGUUCUGGUGGCGGCUUCUCUCCCUGGGGUGGUUUGCCAAAUGGGCUUGGUGGCUUGUGUUCGGGAACUGGCUUCUCUCCCUUGGGAGGUUCAGUUGGUGGCUGCUGUUCCGUAGGUGGUUUCUUCACCGGCGGCUUGUGCUCCGGAAGCGGCUUCUCUACCUGGAGAAGCUUACGAGUUUUGUCCGAUGGCUUGUGUUGUGGUGGUGGCUUCUCUCCCUGGGGUGGUUUGCCAAAUGGAGUUGGUGGCUUGUGUUCGGGGAGUGGCUUCUCUCCAUUGGGAGGUUUAGUUGGUGAUUGGUGUUCCGUAGGUGGUUUCUGAAGUGGGGGAUGCUUGGGGUAGUCAGCAAGAGACGAGGUAGUGAGAACCACCAGUCCCAGCAGCAACACUAGCAAGCAUGUGGAAGACAUCUUUGAGUUCAGGCUGAGAUCUGUGCAAGGAUAACAGAAUUAGGUGGCCUUUUAUAGAGGCCUGGACCCAACACCCAUAUGACACGUGUCAUGCACUCAUGGUGACACAUAAUUCUAUGGGACCAUUUGGGUCCUACAGAAGUUGCAAAGUUGGACUACUGAGGUGUGAUCACAACUUUUGUCCUUAUUGCUUUCUCUGCGGCCAUUGCACGAUUUCCUUUAGCAUCAUUUUCUUGGCUAAAUAAGCGUAUUAUAUUUGUGGCAGACCGUCCACGUGUCAUAAACAGAUAUAUUAUAAUAAUGUAGUAUGCUUUUCUCCAAUGGAACAUGACACUCUUCUAAGUCUUGUUUUAAAUAUUGUGCAGGAUUACUUUAUACGUUGCAGUUCCAAGUCAAAAUUGGUGGGCAAACGUUGGCCUUUUUUCAUUUCACCUAAGAUUAAUGCUCACCUGGGAUAGGCACUACAUGACUUAUCUGCUCUUUUACUGUAAAGUUGCUUUGUGUAUGAGAUACACCUCCCCUGCACACCCUCAACAUUCGUUGCUCUGUUUUCCUUGUGUCCAGACGAGGAUAUUAAUUGGAGGCUGACAAAACGACUGCUAGCCCAGGAUUUACAAGGUCCUGGUUUGAGGCUUCGGUGAAAGUAUUUUUGAAAAGACACACAUAGAGAUAGUGCGUUUGGUGCAAUGCAGCACUGUGAGCCAUUCUGACGCGUUCUUAAUUUCAAAACUAAUGAAUGCUUCAAAAUUUUAAGAAGUGACAUUUCCAAAUAUUUGAGUUCGUUUAAUUGAACAUUGGAUAACUAGUGAUCAUAGAUUAUUAUCUGUGCUUGGCACUAUAAGAGGGUAUAUGCUUCUUUUUCUGGCCCCUCCUUCAAGGGAGGAGGGACAAUGUGAUCUGUAACGUUAGAAGCUAUUCCAUGUCAUCUUUGGGCUCAGUUCAAAACUAAAAGAUAAUGGGGGGGGGGGGGGGGGGCAUAUCAUUUUAUAUUUCUUCUAGAAGGUUUGUUCUGGAAAUAUUUCACAGGAGCAUAUCUUUUUCUUCUAUUACGUCAUCCGCAGCCUCCAAUAGGUCGGUUAACAAGCCACCGAGUUGAAAAGUUGGAAAAAUGGGAACACAGCCCGCCUCUUGUAUUCAGUAGUUAAAUAAAAGGUCACUAGAAGUGAGAUCCCUUUUGGCGUCUUGAUUUUCAAUCCAGCACCUCUGUGACCUGACAAACCAAAAAAACUAAAAAAUAAAAAACAGUACGUGGGUUGGUGUUAAGCAUCAAGACAUGUUAAUGAAAGAAGGUAGAGAAUAGGAUAUUGAAAUCCCAAUCCUGAUAACAUGAUUUUCUUUGCUAACAACCAUAUUAUAUUUUAUCAAGAAAGAGUAAUGCAUGUGGCGUCCAUCAAGACCCAUUAGAGUUCCGCUAAAGCUAUAGUUCUGUCAACGUUAUCAUUUACGUUUCCUCUAGAUAAUGGCAUUUUCCUCUAAAGCUCUUGCACCAUUAGGCUUCAAGUCAAAAUUUCACAUGUGAACUUUGGAAAUUUUCUCCAUUUGCCCCUAAGGAUACAGUUAGAAUUGACUUAAAAUCCUGAUUGAUAUGUACUAUUAACCAAAGAAUAUUGUAUAUAAUAAUUGAAAUAUUGUUGAUUCAUCGUGGAAAUACAUUUUGUAAGGAAAGUUGUUGAGAAUUUAGUAUGCUAUAUGGAGAAAAAAGUCAUGACUUAAGGUUGUGUAUGUAUAUUCUAUAUCAAAUAUUAGGUAGGAAUGUGGGAAAGAGCAGAGUGUAAUGAUAAGAAACAAAGAAAUAUAAGAUAUUCUUGAAAGUGGAAAAUAUAAAAUGGCUAACGAGUCAAAUUUAUGAUGCGUAAGGGGGAUCAUGUCACAUAAGAAAACCAUGGCAUACUAAAGACGUACGUGUGGUAUGGAGUAAUAAUUUUGUUAAAAUAAGUUUCUUGUUGGAGUACAUUAGGUGACUAUUCAUAACGUAUCAAAUUAAAGAGUCAAGUGCAUCAAUGAAGGCAUAUGUAGAAAAUUUGUUUGUGACAUGUACCAUAAAGAUAAGAUUGACUUGAUAGAAUUUAGUCUAAGUAGGAGUUGUUAAAGGUGUCUUAAAUUUCUAAUUGAUGUAUAUUUUUUUCUAAAAAAAUAUUAUAUAGAUAUUUUAAUAAAUGAUUAAUUCUUUGUAAAAAUACUUACAUAAUAAAAAACAUCAUUAAAAAUAUCUUUAUAAAUAUUUUAAGUUACAAGAAGGAAAAAAACCACUGUGAGAUAAUGAUGAACAUGCAACACUGUACCAAGUAAAUAAAAAUGUGAUAAAAAAAAAAGAGAAACACUCGAUAAAGGAAGGCUCGUAUAUAAAGAGUAAUAUUUUUAAUCAUAUGAUAGAAUGAUUUUCUCUCAUUCAUGAAUAUAGGCAAGAUUGGGGAACCAUUAUAAAAUUUUGUACACCUCGUGUAAAUUGAUGUUUGUCUUCAUAUUUUACACCAACAAAUGACAUUGAAGUUGUCAUUGAUAAAAGGGAAAAGGCAUGCCUCCACACCAUGUGCUUGAUUCGAAUGGUUCAAGUUUGAAGAAUUUUCUCCGGAAGAUCUAAAACAUUUUCGCCUUUAAAUUUCAUUUGAUUAUUAAUAUCCGAAAAAAUAGUUAAAUACUCUUUCUAUUUUUGAGUUGUUGAAUUUUUUGAAAGUUUUUAUAUUUGUUAUCAAGAAUUUCUAUUUUAUUAAGGGUGAAUAUUUAUAAAUAAGAUAUUAUAUAAUAUUUGGAUAAGAGAGAAUGGUGGAAUAUAAUAAAGUUUUAAUCCUUCCCAAUUUUGAACCUUUUUUUUUUUUUUUGAUAUAAUCGCCUUUCUCUUGCAAUCCUAUUAUCAGGUACCUUAUAUUUGCUGAUGCUAUCUGGAACUAAAUUCCAAUCAGGCAUUGUCCAAUUACUAAUAGGACAGAUCAUAUCUCUCUGUUUCUAAACUAACAUGUAUCGUAAUGUGACCUCAUAAGGAAGGCUAGGAAGAUGGAGGAUUUUGUGGGAAGCGACCAGAAUCAGAUGGAAGAGAGAUAGCCCUGUUGACCUAAUGGCUGUAAUAGGAGAAGCGUGUGGUUUUAUGGGACUUAACUGAUACUAAACCUGUAUGAUGCUUGGAGUGGUGUUUCUUUCAUUUUGUUAAGAAAAUAUGGCAGCAUACAUGCUUUCAACUGAGUGCAUCAGAGCAUCCAUAACAGAUGGUCUGCAACCCUAGGUGCAUGCCACUUUCUGACUGAUAAUGAAAUUGUCAGGUACCUGGCCUUGACUAAGCUCAACAGCAUCACAUAAAGAGAAGCUUUCAUACUUAGAUUACUGUUUAAAGUUUUUGCUUAUUUGAUUUCUUAAUGCCAUUAUGACAUUAUUGAUUCAAUUCUGCUUCCGAUUUUCGAAGUUCUGGGCAUCUACUGAUUGCAUCAUUAUAUGAGAAGUUGCAUGAGUUUAUGUAUCCUGUUAUUGUUCCUUUGCGAUUUCACUGCUCACGGGACUAACCUCUCCAUUCAGUCGAAAUGAAUUGUAAUUUCUUUACUGGUAGCAGUAGUACUUUUCAUAGCAAAGAUAAUAGAAAAUAUGAAAUAUAAAUAGAAGGAAAUCUGGAUUGUAGAUAGCACCAUAAGUAACACUCAAUAUUCACUACAUAAUAAAUAGACAGUGUUACAUAGGUAGAGAAACCUACAAUGAGUACUCAUCACCAUUCUCAAACAGAAACAUAGCAGCGACUUAUACAUAGAACCUAUAGGCUCGCAGGGAAAGAGUAACAUGAUAAGUUCACAGCGGGUAGCAGCUCUUAUUUUACGUAUUACUCAAAAUCUCAAACUAACCAAAGUCACUCAGUUGGGAUGGGUAGGAGAUGGUGGUUUGUGGGGUGGCUUCUGGGUAGGAGCUGGUGGCUUCUUUGUUGGAGUUGAAGGAGGCAUAUUCUUCUGAGGUGGCUUGUAUGACUCUUCGGCACUCUCUGCAGGAGGGUGCCCAGGGUUGUGACCAGAAGGAGGUGGCUUCUGUCCCUUUGGUGGUUUGCCUAAUGGGCUUGGUGGCUUGUGCUCCGGGAGUUGUUUCUCUCCCUCGAGUAGGUUUCGAGUUUUGUCAGAUGGCUUGUGUUCUGGUGGUGGCUUCUCUCCCUGGGGUGGUUUGCCGAAUGGGCUUGGUGGCUUGUGUUCGGGGAGUGGCUUCUCUCCCUGGAGAAGGUUACGAGUUUUGUCAGAUGGCUUUUGUUCUGGUGGCGGCUUCUCUCCCUGGGGUGGUUUGCCAAAUGGGCUUGGUGGCUUGUGUUCGGGAACUGGCUUCUCUCCCUUGGGAGGUUCAUUUGGUGGCUGGUGUUCCGUAGGUGGUUCCUUCACCGGCGGCUUGUGCUCCGGAAGCGGCUUCUCUACCUGGAGAAGCUUACGAGUUUUGUCAGAUGGCUUGUGUUGUGGUGGUGGCUUCUCUCCCGGGGGUGGUUUGCCAAAUGGACUUGGUGGCUUGUGUUCGGGGAGUGGCUUCUCUCCAUGGGGAGGUUUAGUUGGUGGUUGGUGUUGCGUAGGUGGUUUCUGAAGUGGGGGAUGCUUGGGGUAGUCAGCAAUAGACGAGGUAGUGAGAACCACCAGUCCCAACAGCAACACUAGCAAGGAUGUUGAAGACAUCUUUGAGUUCAGGCUGAGAUCU